CCCCUCCUUCCUUCCCACCGUCCCCACCCCCCUCCCCUCGGUCUCCCGUGCGGUGCCCUAAGAGCUGGAAGCUGACGUCAGGGGCCUGAAUUCCUGACUUUGCCUGCACGCAUUUGUCCAUACUCCUUAUGUGCUGGAGGUCGGAGCUGGCUAAGACCAACGUCCCAUCCGCCCAUUUCCCACAUGAGAAAACUGAGGCACUCCGACGGAAGAGAAAGGACUUGUCCAGAGUCCUGCACGCCACCGACCCAGGCACCCAGGCGCGGGACCUGGGUGUUCAGACUCCCAAUCCCAGUCCCCUCCGCCAGCUAGAGAGCCUUGAUUCCCUCCUUUCCACAGAGCAGGGAACCAGGUUAGAUGUCAGCGGGCCACGCAGACCACCCAGGGAAGAGAAUUCCAACUUCCUGGAACGUCUGAUUGACAUCCCUGAAGGCAAUGACGUUGCUUCGGGGCCACUUUCUCUGUCCUAGGCUCAAGUAAACGAACACCUGGAGUUGAACGUUUAUUUUUCCGCCUGGUCCUGAAGCCCAGAAACUUUUUUUCUAUGCUCAUAUCUCCAAAAAAGAAAUCAGCGAACUGGGUGAACUGGUUUGAAUAAAGGCAAGCCUGUUCUUGGAAA